rnacentral:rRNA from 1 species
AGAGUUUGAUCCUGGCUCAGAUUGAACGCUGGCGGCAGGCUUAACACAUGCAAGUCGAGCGGUAACAGAGGUAGCUUGCUAUCUGCUGACAAGCGGCGGACGGGUGAGUAAUGCUUGGGAAUAUGCCUUUGAGUGGGGGACAACAGUUGGAAACGACUGCUAAUACCGCAUAACGUCUACGGACCAAAGGGGGGGAUUCUUCGGAACCUCUCGCUCAUUGAUUAGCCCAAGUGAGAUUAGCUAGUUGGUAAGGUAAUGGCUUACCAAGGCGACGAUCUCUAGCUGGUUUGAGAGGAUGAUCAGCCACACUGGGACUGAGACACGGCCCAGACUCCUACGGGAGGCAGCAGUGGGGAAUAUUGCACAAUGGGCGAAAGCCUGAUGCAGCCAUGCCGCGUGUGUGAAGAAGGCCUUCGGGUUGUAAAGCACUUUCAGUUGUGAGGAAAGGAGUGUAGUUAAUAGCUGCAUUCUAUGACGUUAGCAACAGAAGAAGCACCGGCUAACU